rnacentral:rRNA from 1 species
CAGGCCUAACACAUGCAAGUCGAGCGAGAAAGGGGAAACCCCGGUAAAGCGGCGCACGGGUGAGUAACACGUAGGUAAUUUACCCCCAGGUGGUGGAUAACCUUCCGAAAGGAGGGCUAAUACAGCAUAAGACCACGUCUUCGCAAGGAGAUGAGGUCAAAGCCGGCCUCUUCAUGAAAGCUGGCGCCAGGGGAUGAGCCUGCGGCCCAUCACGGUAGUUGGUAGGGUAAUGGCCUACCAAGCCUAAGACGGGUAGCUGGUCUGAGAGGAUGAUCAGCCACACUGGAACUGAGACACGGUCCAGACUCCUACGGGAGGCAGCAGUGGGGAAUCUUGCGCAAUGGGCGAAAGCCUGACGCAGCGACGCCGCGUGAGUGAUGAAGGCCUUCGGGUUGUAAAGCUCUGUGGGGAGGGACGAAUAAGUGGUGGCUAAUAUCCAGCGCGAUGACGGUACCUCUUUAGCAAGCACCGGCUAACUCUGUGCCAGCAGCCGCGGUA